ensembl:lncRNA
GAAAGGUGCCUUAUUGCUAUUAUAAACUGGUUACAAUGUAAUUAGAGCAGUAAAAAUGUAUGUUUUGUCAUACCUGUGGCUAUAGCACGGCUGUCAGCCAAUCAGCAUUCAGGGUUAGAACCACCCAGUUUAUAAUUUGUAAUAGAGAUGUAUCUGUAGAAUAUUUACUGUGUAUUGGAAGAGUUUACGUCCUCGCUUCAUUCUCUACUGUGGGAGUCAUGUUCGGGACUUUGCAUUUUAUUUCACUGCCUGUGUCUGUUUUCAUUUUCAUAUUGUUCAAAAUACACUGAUGGUUGUUCAGAAAAAGUCAUACUGUGAAGGGAACACUGGAUAAGUCAAGAGAGACACAUUUCUUAAAGCCACAAAUCUGGAAUUUGUACUUGUUUUGAUAUUCAGCUGAGGGAUGUGACAUGCAAAGGGACAUGUGAGAUUUUCUCAAGACUGACUUGGUGAACAGCUGGCUAGAACACAGGAGUAUUGUCCUUAUACACAAAAACAGUAUUUCAUCACUUUCUACAUCUGCACCUGAAGAGAUUCACCACUUGUCUUCACCAUGUCUGCAGGGUAGGGUAGCCUAGUGGUUAGAGCGUUGGACUAGUAACCGGAAGGUUGCAAGUUCAAAUAAAGGUCAAAUAAAAAUAAAUAAAAAAUUUACAUAGGGAAUAGGUUUCCAUUAGAGACAGUAGGGAAUAGGUUUCCAUUAGAGACAGUAGGGAAUAGGUUUCCAUUAGAGACAGUAGGGAAUAGGUUUCCAUUAGAGACAGUAGGGAAUAGGUUGCCAUUAGAGAUGCUAGGGAAUAGGUUUCCAUUAGAGAUGCUAGGGAAUGGGUUUCCAUUAGAGAUGCUAGGGAAUAGGUUGCCAUUGGAGACAGUAGGGAAUAGGUUUCCAUUAGAGAUGCUAGGGAAUAGGUUACCAUUGGAGACUCCAGGGAAUAGGUUGCCAUUGGAGACAGUAGGGAAUAGGUUUCCAUUAGAGAUGCUAGGGAAUAGGUUACCAUUGGAGACAGUAGGGAAUAGGUUUCCAUUAGAGAUGCUAGGGAAUAGGUUGCCAUUGGAGACUCUAGGGAAUAGGUUACCAUUGGAGACAGUAGGGAAUAGGUUACCAUUGGAGACAGUAGGGAAUAGGUUACCAUUAGUGAAGCACAAUGUUACUUAUUUCAAAACAUUUACAGCACUAUAGUGCUGUGAACAGGUACAAUCUUUUUUCACACCCAGAUUUUUCCUACAUACUGUUUGCUGUUCUCCAGUAUUUAUUUGUGUUGGCGGUGCGAGGGGGUCCAUGUCCUUUGUCUUGUCAAGAUAAAGGAAACAACGACUGAAUCUUAGUAGUGUUGCACCAUAACAACACGCUCUUUAAUCUCAGACAACAACAGCAUUUAUUUUGUCUUCCAAAUGGCAGCCUAUUCCCUAUGGGCUCUGGUCUAAAGUAGUGCAUUAUAUAUAGGGAAUAGGGUGCCAUAGGGCUCUGGUCUAAAGUAGUGCACGAUAUAGGGAAUAGGGUACCAUAGGUCUCUGGUCUAAAGUAGUGCACUAUAUAGGGAAUAGGGUGGC